rnacentral:rRNA from 1 species
AUUGAACGCUGGCGGUAUGCUUAAGACAUGCAAGUCGUGCGGUAGGGGCUUCGGCCCUGAGAGCGGCGGACGGGUGAGUAACGCGUGGGAAUCUGCCUGCUAGUGGGGGAUAGCCCGGAGAAAUCCGGAUUAAUACCGCAUACGUCCUAAGGGGGAAAGGCCGCAAGGCGCUAGUAGAUGAGCUCGCGUAAGAUUAGCUAGUUGGUGAGGUAAAGGCUCACCAAGGCGACGAUCUUUAGCUGGUCUGAGAGGAUGGCCAGCCACAUCGGGACUGAGACACGGCCCGGACUCCUACGGGAGGCAGCAGUCGGGAAUAUUGGACAAUGGGCGCAAGCCUGAUCCAGCAAUACCGCGUGUGUGAAGAAGGCCUGCGGGUUGUAAAGCACUUUCAGUUGGGAAGAUAAUGACGUUACCAACAGAAGAAGCACCGGCUAACUCCGUG